ACUGAAACAUUUUUGCAAUAUAGCUCUCCCUCUGUGCUAUGAUUCAUAUAACUAUGAAUCUCCUUAUGCAUGCUAGGACGAGGCAGCUCUGUCAGCAAUGUCAGAAUUAGUAGCAGUUGCAGGAAGAAGGGAUAAAUGUGCAUUAGCUCAACCACAAGUCAUUGGUAACAUUCCUCCAGAGGAACACAGGAACCGGUCCAUGACGUCUAGCGCUCUGCUAUCACAGGCAAUACGAUACCCAUAAUCAGUUUAUUAAGCUGCAUCUUAGAAAUGUACUCACAUAGUGGGGAUAAUUCCUUCCAUUCCAGGAAUCACUGGGUAAAGUUUCUAGACUGAGUUAAGAAAGGUCAGGUUAGAUGAUCAUAGGGUGUCUGCUGGCUUCAACGUCUCAAAAUCUCCGCAGGGAUUUAGAAGGAGCCAACAAAUUUUCACUUACACUCACAGAUGUCAACACCUGGAUGUUCCUAUGCAUGGACACCUCCACCUCCAGGUGACAUCCAGGAUUAAAACAAUCUGAAGACACCCAACCAGUCACUCCUACAGCAAGUAAAAUGACUGCUGGUUGAGCUACAAUAUUUGGACUGCCUAGUCUGCAGGACAUUUCAACUGAGUGACUUCCCAGCUGUGAAGACUUCAGUAUUGAUGUAUCCAGUCAAUAGCAGGGAACUUGAGGGGAAAAAUAAAGUAGCACAGACAUAGACACUGGAAAAAGCAACACCUCCUGAAUUACCACCACCACUUCCCAGGGAGGUAGUGGUUGGAUCUGUUAGUAGUCUGCCAACUACUGACUCAGCCUGUCCCCAUUUUUAUGUCCAAGACCUAAUAAGAUCAAAUUGAAAUUGCUUGCAUUGGGGUAGCAUAUAGAGUUUCAUACAGGAUCACCAUCUCCUUAAAAUCAAUGCACUUAGUAUAAUCAUAACACACCCUGUUACUAGAGGUUGACAGUCAAGGUGGGUUAUGAGGUAGCAACAGGUUCAGAGUUGACAUGGCAUGGCUGCAUUACACAGGAGAUCGGCAGCAGAGCUGGAAAGAGGAAUAAAGGUUGUUUGAAGCUCAGUUUCUCCCUUCACAUCUGGGUCACUAACUUCUGACUGACUGCCAGAUCUCUCCAGAAUAAUAACAUUCACCAAGGAAAUAAAUCACUAAAGAAUAAAAAGGACACUGCUGUCAACCAUGUGGGUGCUCAGCAUCCCACUCCAUAAAAACAAGACCUCAGAGUUAGUUUUAGAGAUGCAUAAUAAAUGUGCUGUCUUUAGUAGAAAGCUUUUGGCUUCCUGUACAGAUCAGCAUUUUUCAUGUAAACAUCCAGAAACUGUGUGAAAACUAAAAUUUGCCCCUGGGAGUAACUAUUGAUUUAUAUUAUAAAUGCUAAUGAACCAGGGCUGUAGACAUCACCUUUUCAUUUGACCCAUAUUAGUUGGCCAAUGUUCAAAUUCUCACUGAACCAGGAUUCAAAGAUCUGCAUUCAGUUUUAAAGAUGCUUUGCUUUACCCUGAGAUAAUCAAUGUUGUUCCUUGUUUCUGUACUUGAAAUAAGAAAAUAUCAUUAUUUUUCACUCUUUUUCUGCUUAGCCUCUGUAACAAAGUAUGCUUUUAAUUUUUUUUUAAUUUUAAUUUUUAUUUUUUUUUGUAAUGUGUGAAAGUACCAUCAAGCUUAGGAUCAUGGCUGAGAACUCCCUGACACUGCUAUAAUACUGGUAAUAAGGAGGCAAUUUUUAGUUUAAGAGAGUUCAAUAUGUUUUCAUGUUCAGUCAGAAAAAUCAGAUGAAAGCUGAAAAGAUGAAUACCUGGACCUUUCUAUUUUGUGGUUUUGAGAUAAACUUGGAACU